GACGAACGCUGGCGGCGUGCUUAACACAUGCAAGUCGAACGGAAAGGCCCCUUUGGGGGUACUCGAGUGGCGAACGGGUGAGUAACACGUGAGUAACCUGCCCUUGACUUCGGGAUAACUUCAGGAAACUGGGGCUAAUACCGGAUAGGAAUCCUUGCUGCAUGGUGGGGGUUGGAAAGCUUCGGCGGUUUUGGAUGGACUCGCGGCUUAUCAGUUUGUUGGUGGGGUAGUGGCUUACCAAGGCUUUGACGGGUAGCCGGCCUGAGAGGGCGACCGGCCACAUUGGGACUGAGAUACGGCCCAGACUCCUACGGGAGGCAGCAGUGGGGAAUAUUGCACAAUGGGCGGAAGCCUGAUGCAGCAACGCCGCGUGCGGGAUGACGGCCUUCGGGUUGUAAACCGCUUUCAGCAGGGGCGAAGCUUGUGGUGACGGUACCUGCAGAAGAAGCACCGGCUAACUACGUG
rnacentral:rRNA from 1 species